GUGCAGUUGUACAGCUCCUUCAUGGAGGUGUGGGGGAAUACUGACUGAACUAAUACGAAUCCAAUCACCAUUAUUCUGAAAAGGCCAAUACCACUGAUCAAUAAAGUGUCCUAUAGGGAACACACACACAUCAGUUUA